AAGCUUCAAUGGAUGCCUUACUCAGCGGGGAUGCUGCUCAGGAUGGUGGAAACCCAAUGGACCUUUGGAGCUUUGAUGAUCUGCCUACUGUGGUGGGGGGAGUUUUCUGAGCAAACUUUUCCCUUGCUAGCUGGUCUUCUGUAAAUAAAGCUACAUGUUAGUAAAUUUCACCCUACCAUUAACUUAUUAAUGAUUUUGUAUCUCUCUGAUUCCUUGCUUUAUUUGGAUGCUUCUUUGCUUCUUAAAAAUAGGUUUUCUUUCUCAUCUUUUCUGUUUUCAGGAAUGGUUGUUGCCAGCGUUGCAGUUUGAGUUCACGGUUGGACAUGCAUAAGGCUUGGCUGAAGAGUGUUUUCUUAGGUAGCUAUUGUUAUAUGGGGAGUAAAUAGGUAUUUAGGUAUCUUUUACUUUCAAGACUUUGAAUUGGCACUUUGAAUUUUAUGUCUGUAUCUUGAAGAUUAUAUGGGUUGGAAGACUGAAACCUGAUAAAAUACCACCUUUGCUGUUUGUUUCAAACAUGGUCACUACUUUCUUAGGACUGUCAGUCCAUGGAUAUGUUUAUAUAUCUGUAUUGUGAUUUUUAUUUUUUAUUUUUUAUUUUCUUUUUAAAGCUUUGUUAUAUGGCAUAAGUGCCACAGCUAGAUUGCUUUGAAAGAUUGCUUUGAAAGAGCCGUGAAUACUUCUUUCCCAAUUCUGUCUCAUCUUGUUGACCACCGCCACAAAUGUUUGAAUUGAGUGUUUGCUUUGCAUGCAUAGGUAUUGGAAAUGUAGUAAUCAUCGUAUAGGUUGUGUACUUUAUUAACUCCAUAAUAUUUUGUUGGCUCCAAUACUUCUAUCUACCCACUUCACCUUGUCUAAGAAUCCUUUUUCGGCAUCAUCUUCUGGUGUAUGUUUUGGUUGUGUAAUUCUGUUCUUGGUACAUUGGUUGUUUGGUUUAUACUCUUUCUUCGCAAGUCCUAGUUGCACAAUUUGUGGGGGGAUUCAGGGAGCACAUUAGAGGUUUGUUUGGAUCUUGAAAAGUACGAGGGGAAAUAAAGGCAUUGAAAACAUCCUGAGGAAUGAAUCACUCAAUUAGUGCUUGGUAUUUUCUUUUCUUCCUGUCAUCCUUUAACAUCCAAGCAGAUCCUUGUAAACCAAAACUUGCUCACUUUCUCUCCUGCUUGGAGAGGUGAAUAAUUCAGUAGUAACUUGAGUUAGGUGCGUCAAACGAUCGUUAAAAGGAACAGCACAAUUUUGUUGUGGAAUUGGAGUAAAAGUAGCUCUGUAUUCCCUUAUUUUUGCUUUGUUUAUCUUCUUGCGAAAGAGAGGUGAGGAGAAAUUUCUUCAUAGAUAUGUAUCCCCUUCUUUUUUGUUAUCUUAGUGGAAAGGGUAACGAGGUGUAGCAUAACCAACACUAGCACAUCAGAACUCUGCCUGCUGGAUGUAGUCCUCCCCGGCAUGCCACCAUCAAGGGAAUUUUCACGGCCACAAUUAACCCCCACUGCCACCAAUCCACCCAUGCCUGCAGCAGCCUCCAUUAUUUCUGACCCCUAGCAAUCAGUCACAAAGGACCUUCUAGUCCUGGUCACUGGUGGCAUUGAAAUCUGCAGUCAUGGACCAUUGGUGAGUUUGAACAAACAUUGGUUAUUGAAUAGAGUGUUAGCAAUGCAAGGCUUCAACAUGUGGUAAUGAUGCUGGAGAGGUGUUAAAGAAGUCAGGACACACAUGAUGAAGAUUGAAAGUUAUGGUGAUGUAGGUGAAAGUGCUUGUGUUGUUGGUGGUGGAGGUUGCCAAGUGAGUGGCAUAACUGGUGGAAAUGGUGGUUGUUACUGAUGCAUACUGCUUUUCUACUGAUAGUUGCAAUAUACGAUUCUAUCUAGGUUUUCAAACCCCUCAUUUAUGCUUUGCCAUACCGACCAGCCAUUCACAACUAUUCUACUUUUACUUUUCCUGCCUUGCCAGAUUAUUCAGGCAUACAUUUAAUCUGCACAUUUUUUAUUUCUUUCACCUGUCCUCAUCACUCUUGUAUUUAUUGGUUCCUUCAAUCUUUUACCAUAUGAAGUGGGUUGUGCACAUGAUGGCCCCCACCGCAUUCGACACUCACUUUUUUGUGGGUUUUGCAUUAAUUUCAAAAUUAGCACAAUUUACUGAAAAAGAAAAGAAGUAUGUAUUUUUUUUUUUUUUCUCCUAGUGCAUUGUAGUCUGAAAGUGAGGUUUUCUUAGGGACAAACCCAUGUGUCAAUGUUGGAGGCUUGAAAAAAAUGGUGUUUGGAUUUGAUGCUUAAGAUGAGUGUCGGCCCUGGGAUAGUGCUUAAACCCUAGGGGUGAUUAGCAGAAUCAUGACUUGAAUAUUGAUUAAUGGGAGAUGUCAAAUCCCAAGAUCUCGAUCAUAUGUUAGUUGAGAUUGCUGUUACACGUGGUGGAGGGUGGUGGGGUUAGUUGAAGGGUGAAGGGUGGUUGAGGUGUGAGGCUGAGCUGAGCUGAGGGAGGACUCUCCAAAAAUGAUGAGAGGUGAGGUGAGGUGGAGGUGGGGGCCAAUUUUUAUUUCUUGGAGAUCACAACACCUAGUUUCAUGAGCCCCUGCUACUGUUUCUACUGUUUUUGUGCAAAUGGACAAGGACGAGGACAACCAACAUCAUCUUCGAUUCAUCAAACUGCAUAAAGGCAUCCUCGUGAUUUUUGUUGUCACAGAGACAGAACAGAAGGCAGCAGCAGCAGCAGCAGCGCCCUUUGCCCACGGCCGCGGGAGACUCCCCCACCCCCAUUACCACAUACACCAAAUCCAUGAUUACCAUGUGAUUCCAUCUUAUUAUGGGGUUGUUAAAGGGGCACAUAGGCCCUGAGUCCAAGGCACAAUGACUCCCAAGUUGUCGUGGCCUUUCUAAAUUGAACAUAUUUGAUGAUAUAUGAGCAUAUAACAAAUAUUGUACAUGCAUCUUUAAGUUGUAUUUCACUUUGUUUAUGUGCGUGUCAUAUGCCUAGGCACAAGGCCUUUUUUUCCCGCCUUUGCGUGGCCUUGCGCCUUUCAUAACUACGUAACCUCUUCCCUCUGCCUUUUUCCCUUUUUAGCCUCCCCUUUUAUUGAUAUUGUUGUUGGAGUGAAGGAGAGAGUAACCCACUUUGCCACUCAACGUCUCAUUCUUAAAUUUGGUCAUACCAAACCCUUUUGAAUUAGGGAUGAUGGACAUUUGAUCUCGUUAUCAAACCCUAUAUAAUCGACUUGGAAUUGAGCAAAGGCUAUAAUGAUCUUGUCGUACUCAUUAUGAUCAAAUUUUUGACAUGUCGAUCAACCACCCAUUCACUAAAAGAUUCCAAGAUACCAAAUUCAAAAUCUAUAUAGUUGAAAUUUAUGAUCAAAUUUGACCCAUUGAAUAAAGAUAAGUAGGGAUGUUUUAAUUGCAAUUUUGUAGCACUCGCUUUUUCUCCCUCACAUGGAAACUGAAGGGAUACUGUUCCAUUUUUAUGUUAGAGGCAAAUAGUUUCUACACAUUAUAAUUCCAAUUUUAAGGAAGAUAAUCACAAAAAUUUGAAAGCAGUGUCAAUGACCAAGAAUUUGGUGUUAAACGAAUUCAUAGAGUGGAGGCCUAAACUUGAAAGCGACCUGUCUAUAGCUUGGGUUGGAUCCAAGGCCACCCAGGAGAGGUCCACACUCAACCCCAUCAAUUUUCAGACAUAUGGUGGACCUGUCUAUCAGCACAAUGAGUACCCUCAACACAAAGCAAACCCCAUCAUCGACCCCAAUUAUAGAGGACCCACUAAUCUGAAACAAAUUUGAAGGCCCAACCCCAUUUAUUGGUGCUUGAUAAGAUAUAGGCCCAGGACACAGGGAUGGCUGUACCAGCCUCCCAGGCCAACUUGCCUGAAAUGUUAAGAAUGAUGAGACCAUCAACUUUUAUGCGUUGGUUAGCUAAUGUAAAAAUUAAUGAACAAAUUACAGAAGAUCAAGAUCAUGCCCUGAUUUUAGAGGAUAUCAGUUUUCCAUAAUCUAUGAUACUAAUAGGGAAGAGAUGGAAGCUAUAGGGACUUUAAACAAUCAUGCCCUGGUGCCUCUUGGAAGUAUGCUGAUCAGGGCUCAAGCAAUCUUUGCCUUCCAGUUCCUGUUAGUCUGAGCAGAGUAUGAAGACUCUGGGCAGACAUUAGAAUGCCGAGAAAACACAAAUGUCAACUCAACUGAGCUUAACACAAAUUAACAAUGUAAUACCAAUCAUAAUGAAUUGAUCAAAAAUUUUAUUGUAUGGAAUAUAUGCCAAAACUAGAGUAUUUCCCUUUGAAGAAGUCAUCCCUUUCUAACAAUAGAAAGGUUUGGGAAUUGGGAGUUAAUCCUAGCAAGGAAGGAAUAAGAAAGGGCUUCAAUCAGAGGAUAACAUCGUAUUCCUUCUUCCUAUGGAAGUAGUGCCAUGUACUAAUUAAAAAACUAAACAGAGGAACAGUUAAAUUACUUAGGCUAAUUAAACUCCAAGAUGAAGAGCUGCAAUGGCUGUUCCAACACAUAAUUCAAAUUGUUUGUCUUUACAACUCCACCAUGCAUAUUCUUUCAAGAGGUGUUGUUUCUUCUUUCUCAUCAUCCUUCUUUCCAUGGCCAUGAUGGUGGGUGUUGCUAUAUUGACCAUUGUCUUCAUCUUGAAGCCCCAAAAGCCUGUUUUCUCCCUCCAAACAAUGAGUUUGGAGUCCUAUAAGCUAGACGUAUAUUCAAAUUCAACCCUGUUUAUUUCAUCUGUUAUUUCAUUAACUUUAAAUGCUCAAAAUCCUAACAAGGUUGACCUAGGUUUUAGCCCUUCAAGACUUGAUAUCCUCUACAAGGGACUUCCCAUAGGAGUAAUACAUGUUCCUGGAUUCUACCUGCCUGCUCACAGCUAUAAUGUGCUUGUGAAAAACCGGGUUUUGUUUCCCUGUGUGAAUGUUAGCCAAAUCAUUUCUGAGGUUUCAAGGCAAACACUGAUUCAGAUGAGAAUACUAGGUGACAUUGGAGCUCACGUGCGGGUGUUUCAUAUAACCCUACCGAAAAUCAAGGUCUGUCUUGCAUCUUCUUUUGUCAAGAUGAAGCUCUACUCUUUAGCAGCCAUGAAAGUAAACCCUUUAUUGUGAAAGAAAUAAAGCUAUGAACACAAUGCCCUUUCCUGCUUCCCUGCUUCAUCUACUCUGAAAUUGUCUUGCUACAUUAGUCUGAAAUAUAAAGAGCUUAUUUGGGAACAAUUUUAGGAAGUGUUUAUAAUCUUUUUAGCACUUGAAAUUUCGAGUGCUAAAAAGGUUAGAAAAGAUUUCUAGAAUCAUGACCAAAUGGAUUCUAAAGCUUGUAUGAUAGGAUUUUACUUUGAAAAUUUGUUCUUGUGUUUCCCAUUUGUGUAGCUUGCCCUGGACUGCAACAUUAAUAUUGAUUAUCAAGAGCUCACAUUCAAGAAUGAAUUGUAUGCCAUGACAGUAGCACAAAAUCUCAACGUACGUCCUCCCUUAUCACUUUUGUUUGUCCUCUUUUCCCUUAUUUUGGUAGUUGUUUAAAUAUUUUACAUAUCUGUUUAUCUAUUUAUGUAUCCAUUUUUGACGUCUACUUUUCCUUUCCAGGCAGCAUUUCCUGCUAACAUCCAAACCUUCUCCAAGAACUGUUCAGUAGCCUUCUUAAUCUAAACAUGCACUAUUGAGAAAUAUAAUGUAUCAUUUUGAUUGUUAACAGAGGUUUUGUUCUCUUAUGGCAUCCCUUUCCCAUUGGAAGUAUAGUUAUUCUAGUUUAAUCAACAUGCCAAAGUCCAAAUGGCUAGAGUUUUUGUUUCAUGUGGAACUUCUCUGAUUGUAGAUUUCUUAGAACUGGUUAUUUUUUAUCCCAGAAGAUAUUAAGGAAGAAAAAAAAAUGUUAAAAGAAAAAUGAUUUUCUCAUAUUUGAUCAUAAUAUGAUUUUCCUUCCAAAUUUUCAGGAAUCAAACAUUGCGUAUAUGUAAACUUUAAACAAGGGUUAUAUUGAUUAAUUCUCGAGAAGCCUUGAUCUCACAAGGCUAGAAAUGCUUUUUGUUUCUUUCAAAAUCACUCUCAAAUAAGCUUUCAUUUAAGGGUAGGUAGAAAAAAACCCUUCUGUCAUAUUUUUUCAUCUUUGUCUAAACCUUGCAGGAUCAUCAUUUUAUAAAUUUUGGGUGCAAACCCUUCUCUUAAAAAAAAAAAAAAAAAAAUUCAAAAACCCUCUGCAUUGACCAAAAACUAUACAUAAAUACUUGAUUGGCUAGGUGGGCAUUCUAGAUAAAAUGAGUACUUUUGAACCAUUCUACCACAUUUUUUAACUUAAUCAAUAAUCUAAGUCAAUAGUCCAUGUGCAGUAUGCAUUAAUAAAAAACACCCAAAUCAGCUUUUCUGAAAUAGAUCUUCUUCAUCACAAGUGAUGACCAUUUAACUAACUUCAACUUGCAACUGCAUUUAAGGCGGGAAAAAGCUAUGCUCUGGGCCAGUCAAAGAUGAAUACAACUACACAUAUUUUUCCUUUUCACACCACAUUAAAAAGGUUAAGAGAAUUAAAGAAAAAAAAAAAAAAGGCUUCACAUGUGGAAACAGCAAUAAUGUUGCUGACAGCAGAUGCAUGAAGGACUGCCAAGGACCCAAUCAGAAGUUGCCACAUUGAUGAUACUAAAAACAAAUUGAUAGUUGUUAUGCCACAUAAAGCAAAUAAAAUUUGACCUUCUCGAAUCUUUUGUUGGCCUCCAGUUAACAGUGCUCACUCUGACAAGCUCCUUUCCCCAAAACCUCAUCACCCAUCUCAUUUACUUCCCCAAUUUCCAUCUUAAUUUUAUGUUUUUUAAUUGCCUCAAACUCAAUUCAAACUUAACGCUACUCAUGAAUUUUGAUGUGUCGAGCAAUGGUGGAUCUACAAUGUAUAUCAAGCUGAUAUGGGUUACAACAAAUGGAUAGUUUAAACUUGAGACUUCCCGUAGAACAAGCCUCUGAUUCACAAGUUUAGGGUUAAUGUACAAGCUAUUUUGUCUGAAUUUGAAUUUAGAUUGCUAAUUCAUUGACAAUUAACGGAGUUCCAAAGCAGGUAUGAACAUAUAUUUGUGUGGAUAGUUUGGUCAUUUCAAUAGUAGCAACAAUGAGGUUAGUACAUUUAUGGGUCAAUUAUAAGUAGGCAUGAUGAUGAGUAAGACUAAGGUGAAGAAGUCUUAGCCAUGGCCAGGCUGAUCAGCUCCCUCUCUUGCAUCUUGAUUCUAACUAUACUUCUCUUCCCAACAAUCUGUCUCAGCAAAACCCAGAACCCAGAAAGCCAAGCAGCAGAAGCAUCAGCAGCCUUGUUCAUAUUUGGAGACUCUUUCUUUGAUUCUGGAAACAACAAUUACAUCAACACCACAACACUUGACCAAGCAAAUUUCUGGCCUUAUGGAGAGACCUACUUCAAGUUCCCAACAGGGAGAUUCUCUGAUGGCCGUCUUAUAUCAGACUUUAUUGGUGAGAUUUGGAAGCCUUUUGUUCAGUUAUCUGCUAUGCAAAUUCACUUGGCUUAUAGGCCAACUAGGCCUUUUUAUCUCUUCCACUUACUCUUCCUUUUUUAUCUGUCACUUUCGUUGUAGCACAAUAUGCAAAGCUGCCCAUGAUUCCUCCCUUUCUCCAACCGGGUGUUCAUCAAUUUUACUAUGGAGUGAACUUUGCAUCUGCUGGAGCAGGAGCUCUUGUCGAAACGUUUCAAGGGGCGGUACGUAAAUUCUACAGUAGAUAUCAACAAAAUAUGCUUUGUUACUGCUGUUCUAGAUAAUGUGAAUGUACAUGAUCAAUCAUAUUUUGCAUACUGUCUUGCUUUUGAGAUUACCUGGGGUUGAGAUGAGAGAGUGUUGGAAGUCCAUUUGCUUCCAAAUUGACAAAGUCAAUGGCUGAAACCACCUUUUUUUUGGUGAGUUUUGACAAGUCUUUUAGCUCACAUGGGUAGGGGCCAGUUGAGGGGAGAGAGAAACACAGCUCCAAGCUAUAUGUAGAUUUGAUUUGUGAAUACUCAACCCCUGAAAAGGUAAAGGGAAGUGAUAAACUUAUCAAAUUGUUUUGUUCAAAGUUCAAACUGCUUAUUUUAUAUAUAAGCUGCUAGAAAAUCUAGCAUGACUCCAAAAAGGUAGAUUGGCAGUUAUGGACUUUUAGCAGAGUGUAAAGACAAUUUGAAAUAGACAUGAAUCUACCAGUGAUCAUUCUUAGAAAAGAAAAUGAUUCAAGUUAGGCGUUUACAAAACCUACUCACUUCAAUAGUAAGGGAUUACUUGAAUUGUGAAUCUUCUUGAAACUUACUAGAAGGUGGUGUGAUUCAUUUUCAGGUAAUCGAUCUCAAAACACAGCUAAAGUACUAUAACAAGGUAGUGAUUUGGUUGAGACACAAGCUGGGCAAUUUUGAAGCAAAGAUGAGACUAUCAAGAGCUGUGUAUUUGUUUAGCAUUGGGAGCAACGAUUACAUGAGCCCGUUCUUGACUAAUUCUACUAUACUAGACUCCUACUCUGAAUCAGAAUAUGUCGGUAUGGUGAUUGGCAACUUGACAACCGUUAUCAAAGUAAGCAUCACUCCUAUUUUCAGCUUCUUCAACAAACACUUUAGGAUAAAUCACUGAGAACUCAACUUAGGCAUUUGAGACUAGCACUUUUAAGGACAGUGCUUUCAUCUUCAUGAGAUCAAAUGUGGUUAAUUUAUUAAUGCCCAUGCUUUGAAUUAUUGUUAAUUUGGCAGAAAAUAUAUAGUAGAGGAGGCAGGAAAUUCGGGUUUCUCAACUUGCCACCAUUGGGUUGUUUUCCAGGCCUCAGAGUACUCAAACCAGAUAAGAAUGGUAGCUGCUUAGAGAAAGUUUCAAUGCUAGCAAAGUUACAUAACAGAGCUCUCUCCAAACUUCUUGUAAAAUUAGAAAACCAGUUACUUGGAUUCAAGUACUCAUACUAUGACUUCAACAGCAAUCUCAAACAAAGGAUGAAUCGCCCCGCUAAAUAUGGUACAUAUUACAUACAUGUCAUAGCAAUUCUCAUUUCAGGUUUGUUACUGCUGAUCAUUAACUGAAGUUUGCUUUGUUGAAUGGGGAAAAUGCUGGUGUCACAAAGGUUUCAAGGAAGGCAAAACAGCAUGCUGUGGGACGGGCCAGUUUCGGGGAGUAUUCAGCUGUGGAGGAAGAAGAAUAGUGAAGGAAUUUCAGUUGUGUGAGAACCCAAGUGAAUAUGUAUUUUGGGACUCUUUCCAUCUCACUGAGAAGCUAUACAAGCAAUUAGCUGAUGAAAUGUGGAGUGGAUCUCCCUACUCUGAUGUUGUUAGGCCUUACAGUCUCAAAAACCUAUUCUUCCCAAGAGUAUAGCUUUUUCAAUUUUUAUAGCUACUGUUAUAGAAAUUGGAAUAAAACAAGAAACAGAAGCAAUUUCACUGAUUUUUUUUUCCUGCUAAUAAAUCAAUGAAACCCAAUUUCCAUGUUCUUCAGGAUGGAAAAAUUGUACCUGUGCUAUGUAGAUUCUCAGUAUAGUAGAGCUGAUCUCUGUUUCCAGCUGAAUCAGAAAAAUAUUCAAUCAAAUAAUUGCUCCUGUAGCUGCAGUAAGAAACAAAUUAAAAUUGAAACCCUAAUAGAACAAUAUUACAUCAUCUUGACCCAAAACAAACACACAGAAAAAUGAAAUUUUUUUAUUACCAGAUAAGAACAAAAUUCAGAAAAGUCAUGGCUGAACUGACUCUGGUUUUAUUGACCAUUUGAUGAACUGAUAAAAGAUUUUUAUCAGAUGGGAAUGUAUGUAAAAGUUGGAACAAGGGAGAAAGAUUACAGUAAAUGAACCAGACAUCAAAUGGCAAGAUUCAGCAAAUCUAUUUUUAGUUCAAUCAAAUAGGUGUUCUGCUUGCCGCAAUGAGAAACAAAUUAAAACUGAAUAACUUUACGUAAUAAUAUUGGUCCAUCUUGACCAAAAAUAUACACAGAAGAAAAAGAAAAUUCUUGAUUACCAAAUAAGAACAAUGAAAAAACGUCAUGGCUGAGCAUAUUCUGACUGCCAAAGUCAUGAUCAGACAUAAUUCAAUCUCUGCAUAUUGGUGGAUGGCACUGCUAGUUCAACAAAAAGGAAAACUUGUUAUCUAUUUGAUCUACCUUGCAAAAUUGUCUUCACUGGGCUAUAUAGAAGUAGGGAGAAUGAUUACAGAAAGUGAAUCAGACAUUAAAUGGCAAAUCUAAGCUUUCAUAUAAUCUAUUUGUCGGUUGUUUGUGUAUGUAUUAUCAUCCCAACCAGCAGCCAGCCCCUGCACUUUUCAUCUUUGGUGAUUCAUUUUUUGAUGCUGGAAAUAGUAACUUUAUCAAUACCACCACUGAUUAUCAGGCAAAGUUCUGGCCAUACGGGGAAACCUUCUUUGACUAAACCACUGGAAGAGUUUCCGAUGGCCGCAUGAUCCCUGAUUUUAUAGGUGAAAGGACUAGUUUAGUAUGUUGUUUUCUUUUGCAUCUGAAUAAGCUGUUGCCCUCCUGACUUUUGUUGGUUUGCUUCAGCUGAGCAUGCAAAACUCCCAUUCAUUCCACCAUAUCUACAACCUGGUAAUGAUCAAUUUUCUUAUGGGGCAAAUUUCGCAUCUGCUGGAGCUGGAACCCUGGAUGAGAUUAAUCAAGGAUUGGUAUGUCUUCUCUUGAAAAGGGAUUACAAUAACCUAAGGAGUUGGUACUUGGUGCUGCAGGCACUAAUGGCCUUGAAAUCUAAUUGGGCCAACGCAGCUCAGUUGAUUAUGUCACUCCAUAUUCAAGUCCAUACUCUUGAUCACAACCCAUUUCAUGUUUAGGCUUGCUUAUUAAUAACAGGCUGAAAUCAUUGCAUCUAAACUAAUUUGACUUAACUUUUUCGGCUAACUUGGCUUUGCUCUUUUUUAUUUACUUGUACAGCACCAAACAUUUUUGUCUUGAGAACAUGGUUGUAUACCAUUUUCAGGUGAUAAGCCUAAACAGUCAGCUAAGCUAUUUCAAGAAUGUGGAGAAACAGUUUAGGCAAAGGCUAGGUGAUGAAGCUGCCAAGAAAGUGUUGUUUGAAGCUGUGUACUUGAUCAGCAUUGGCACCAAUGACUACCUGAGUCCCUUCUUCAGAGACUCCACUGUGUUUCAGUCCUACUCUCAGAAACAAUACAUAAAUAUGGUGGUCGGCAAUUUGACAGAAGUCAUCAAAGUAAUAUAGCAUCUUUUGUCUUUGAAACCAUUUUUUCUACUUAAUAUGCUAGAGAAUGUUCUUUUUUACAUUAAAAACAGUUUUAUUUUUCUAUGUUUAGCCCUUACUGUUUAUCUAUGUUUCAGGAAAUAUAUAAGAAAGGAGGAAGGAAGUUUGGGUUUGUUAAUUUGGCGCCAUUGGGUUGUCUACCAAUCAUGAAAGAAAUCAAACUCCAACAGGGAGGCACCGGUGAGUGCAUGGAAGAAGCCACAGAGCUAGCAAAACUACACAACAUAGCUCUCUCCAAGGCCCUGAAGAAGCUAGAGAUCAAGUUAAAAGGCCUCAAAUUUCCAAUUUCCAAUUUCUAUACUCUCCUUGAGGAAAGAAUGGACAAGCCUUCAAAAUAUGGUAUGCUGCCCUCUUCUUCACAUUAUGUGAUUUUCCCUGUGGCUCAAUUGCACUUCUGUUCUAACUCACCUUUUGUGUUGAUGCUGCUAAGGUUUCAAGGAAGGGAAGAAAGCAUGUUGCGGUUCGGAUCCCUACAGGGGCCUUUUGAGUUGUGGAGGGAAGAGAACAAUAAAAGAGUAUGAGUUAUGCAGCAAUGUAAGCGAACAUGUGUUCUUUGAUUCAGCUCAUUCUACCGACAAGGCCAACCAGCAAAUGACUGAGUUAAUGUGGAAGGGAACUGGCAAUGUCACAGGACCCUACAAUUUGGAAGCGUUCGGAGAUAGUCAAGAAUAGAUAGAGAGUAAAUAAUUUCAGACAUCUUCCUGACACUCACAUAUGCCAAUGAAUAAAUUAUCAGUCCAAUUCAUUUGUACUUCGUAUUUUCAAACGCCUGAUAAAUGUACUCAAUACUGUGUUUCUUCAGAAUGAAGGUUUAGUUCAGACAAUUGGACUGGAAGUAGUUUCCAACUAAUAAAUUUAGCUUCUUGCUACUUCUAUCAAAUAAUUUCUCUGCUUGCAGAAAUAAGAAGCAGAUUAAAAUUGAAACCUUAUUACAAGAAUGUGGAAAUCCGAAGGAAAUUCAGUUGUGUACACAGUUGUGUUACAACUACAAUUGUAUUAUAGUUGUAUCACAGCUAUGAUAUAGUUGUACUUCAGCUGUUAUAGUUGUAUUUCCUAUUCUAAGUUUAUUUCCUGAUUUUAUGUGAGACUUUCUCUCUUAAAAUUAAGGAUUAGAUUUUUUUUUCUAAAGAAGAUAGCCUUAGUCAUUCAUGUAUAUAAAUAUCGAUACUAUAAUCAUUUUGAUAAAAAUUAUAUAUAUUUUUUCUCCCUAAAAUUUCUUCAUGGUAUCAAAAAGCAUAUUUUGAACUAUUCAAUCUCGUCCAUAACCAAAUACCGAAUAGCCACCAAAAAGGACUCCUCAACCUCAGAAGUCACCUCCACUCAAGAAGUUCCUAUUCCGAGCAAUAAUGGAGGAUCGGAUGGUGUUGCUCUUCUCAUUACUGGACACAAAUGGAAUGGGUAAAACUAUCUUCAAUAGUCUCAUGCAUGCAAUCAUGAUGUUCAUAUGUGGUAGAAAGAAGGAUGACUACCUCAUUGGUGCAGUGCCUCAACCUACGAAAGAAGGCUCAAAAUUCAAAGGAUGGAAGGUUGAGAAUAAUAUGGUUAUGUCUUAGUUAAUUAACUCGAUGAAUAAUGACAUAAAGGAAAAUUUUAUACUCUAUAAAAUAGAAAAAGAUAUCUAGGAAGUAGUAAAGGAGAUUUAUUUUGAUAUGGAAGACACAACAAAGACAUUUGAAAUAGAAGGGAUCCUCUAUAAAAUAGAACUACAAAUUUUUAUUAGGUUUGAAUAAAAAUCUGAUGAAGUUCGAUGCAAAAUAUUGGGAACUAAACUUUUACCCAACAUCCGAGAAGUUGCCUUAAAAGUGCGCCGAGAAUAAAGUAGAAAGAAAGUCAUGUUGAGGCCACAAACUAACCAACCUAUCACCUAGGGUUUAGCCUUAGUAACUCGUGGUCCUCCUUAUCCUCCUAAUGGCAAUCGAGAAAGAAAAAUGAGAACUUAGUGUGAUCAUUAUCGAAAACCAAGUCAUAUGAAGGACAUGUGCUAAAAAAUCCAUGGGAAACCAGCAAAUUGGAAGUCGUUAGGUUCUCAAAAUGAUAGAUAAAGUUAAGGACACUAUGUCACCAUUAAGGACAACCUAGCACCACCUAAUUCUAGUAUGUUCAACAAAAAGCAAUUGGAAUUGUUGCAAAAAAUGUUCAACUAAUCCUAAUAAGAGGCAAAUUCCUCUAAUUCUAUCAUUAGGUCCGAAUCCUUAGUUCAAAAAGAUAAUUUUCUUACUACCCUGAAAGUAAAAAAGGAAAAUUUGAGUCCUUAAAUUGUUGACUCAAGAGCUUUUGAUCACAUGACUGGAGAUGCCACAAUUUUUCAAAAUUAUACACCUUGUUAUGGGGAUUAUAUGGUUCGUAUAGUUGAUAGUUCUCUCUCAAAGGUAGCUGGUACAGGUUCUAUUGCCAUCUCUAUGGACCUAACUCUUGACUCUUUUCUUUUUGUUUCGAACUUGGAUUGCAAUUUGUUGUCCAUUAGUAAAUUCACUUACGAAAAGAACUAUGUUAAUAAUUUUUUUCUAAACUAUUGUGUUUUUCAAGAUUUGAAUUCAAGGAAGAUGAUUGACAAUGCUAAGGUGUGUUCAAGACUCUAUAUCUUCAAAGUGGCUAAUUAUAUUGAAAGACAACCUCAAUCGGCAAUUGGUGAAAAACGUUAUCUUUUUGUUUUUAGUUCUAACAAAGAUAGUGAUGUUAUAUUGUGGCAUUAUUGUCUAGGACAUCCUAGUUUCACGUAUCUCAAAAAACUCUUUCCAUUAUUAUUCACUAAAAGUUCAAAUGUUUUUCAUUGUAAAAUUUUUUAAUUAUCCAAGCAUGUUUGUAAGUCCUAUCCAAUUCAACCAUACAAACCAUCUCAUCAUUUUUCCAUGAUACAUAGUGAUGUUUAGGGCUCAUCUAAGAUAAAGAACAUAACAUGGACUAGAUAGUUGUGUGUCCUUUGUAGAUAAUCAUAUUAGAAGUUUUUUGGAUAUUCCUAAUGAAAGAAAAAUCAAAUGUGAGUCAAAUUUAAAAAAAAAAAAUUAUAACAUGAUUCAAACCCAAUUCCAUGUCAAAAUACAAGUGUUGAUAACUAACAAUGUUAUAGAUUAUUUCAAUUCUAUUGAGGGAAAUUCUUAUGAAGAAAAAGAAUAGUUCAUCAAAGUUAUUGCAUUGAUACUCUUCAGCAAAAUGAGAUAGCUGAGAGAAAUAAUAGACACUUAUUAGAAGUUACAAGGGCCCUUAUGUUCUUCUCCCAUGUCCCAAAGAAUUUUUGUGGAGAAAUUGUACUUAUUAUAAUCGAUCUCAUCAAUAGAAUGUCUUCCCGGCCAUGUCUUAAGUUUCCAAACAUCGUGCAAAGUCUUUCUCAAAUCAUACCCUAGGACUCGACUCAUCUCCUCCAUGAAAGUGUUUGAUUGUUUAGCCUUUGUUCACAUUCCCCAACAACAUCAAAGUAAGCUUGAUCCCAAGACUAUUGAGUGUAUUUUCCUAGGAACUCUCCAAAUCAUAAGGUAUAUAAGUGUUCAUCUCCCAUCACAAAAAGGUUCUACACCUCCAUGGAUGUGACAUUCUUUGAAAAUCAACCUUAUUACUCCAAAACUAAUAUUCAAAGGGAGAAUAUAAUUCAAGAAUACUAGUUUUGAGAAAUAGAAACCAUGAUUGAACCUCAAACACUUAAGUUUAUUAUAGUUCACAAUUCUAAUCCUAUCUUUCUUGCUCUAAGUCUCCUGUUCCAAACUACCGAAUCCGUAGACAUUAAGUCGAGUAUUCUUCUUUGCCCAAACCAAUCUCAAACUAUUAAUAAUAGUGAAUUCAUUAUCUACUCAAGGAAAAAGAAGUCUUAAAAAGAUAUAGAGUAACAAACACAUCUUGAGCUAGUACAUGAAACUGAACUGAAUUCAGUCCCAAAAGAGACACACUCAAGUAACAUUUAUUCUAAUCCUAAUGAGCCAAAAGAUGAUGGACUCAAUUUACCAAUUUCCAAAAAGAAAUAAGUAAGAUAUUGCAUAAAUCAUUCAAUUUAUAUAAUUUUAUCUCCUACAAGAGUUUGUCACAGGUUAUUGGGUUUUUGCUACCAAUAUCACAUAAUUGGAUUCCCAAUAAUAUCCAAUAAGCCCUACAAAUACCUGAAUGGAAGACAACCACUGAGGAAGAUAUCUGAGCUCUUAAAAAGAAUAGGACAUGAGAACUUGUUGAACUUUCAGAAAGAAAUAAUCCAAUCAAGAGUAAGUGGAUUUUCACAAUCAAGUACAAAGCAAAUGGGAAUGUGGAUAGAUACAAAGCUUGACUAGUUGCUAAGGGAUUUACGCAAUUCUAUGGAAUGGACUACCAAGAAACCUUUGCUCCAAUUGCCAAAUUGAACAAAAUUCGUGUUUUGUAGUUGUUAGCUAAUUGGCCUUUUCAUCAAAUGGACAUAAAGAAUGUCUUCCUCAAUGGUAACUUAGAAAAAAAAGUGUACAUGGAAAUUCCUUCAUGUCUUAAGACUAAGAUAAACAUUAACAAAGUCUGCAAACUAAAAAAUCCUUAUAUGGUCUCAAGCAAUCUCCUAGAACUUGGUUUGAUCAUUUUACCAUAACUAUAAAGAGGUUUAGUUACUCUCAGUGUCAAUCUAAUCACAUGCUAUUUGUAAAACACACAACUGAGGGAAAAAUUGUCAUUAUCAUCAUUUAUGUGGAUGACAUAAUUCUGACUGAAGAUCAUAAAGAAAAAAUAGGCAAAACUCAAGAGUUUCUUACUCAUGAGUUUGAAAUUAAAGACCUAGGGAAUCUCUAAUAUUUUAUUGGGAUGGAAAUUACUAAAUCAAAAAUGGGUAUUAUAGUCUCCCAACAUAUGUUCUAAACUUACUAAAGGAGACUGGGAUGCUUGGUUCUAAACAUAUAGGCACACCUAUGGACUACAUUACUAAACUAAGAAUUGUUGAAAGAAGUGCUUUAGUGGAUAAAGGGAGAUAUCAAAAGACUUGUGAGAAAACUCAUUUAUCUUUCUCACAUAAAACCAAAUAUUGUCUUUUUAGUUGGCAUGAUUAGCAAAUUCAUAAACAAUCCAACUAAGGAACAUAUGAAAGUUAUGCAUAACUAACCGAAGAUCAACCUCAGGAUAUUGCACCUAUGUAUGGGGGAAUUUGAUUACUUGGUGAAGCAAGAAAUAGUCUAUUGUAGCUUAGAGUAGGGCGUAAAUAUAAUUUAGAGUUAUGACACAUGAAACCUAUGAAGGAAUGUGGUUAAAGAGACUCCUAAAUGAGUUAAAAAUUCUAGUAGAAGAUUCUAUGGAGAUGUUUUGUGACAAUCAAACUGCUACAAGUAUUGCUAAAAAUAUGGGUCAUCAUGAUUAGACGAAGCAUGUGAAAAUAAAUCACCAUUUUAUCAAGGAGAAGAUAGAAGAAUGAAAAUUUUCAUUGGUUUACUCUCUAAUAGGUCUUUAGACAAUAGACAUCCUUAUCAAGGCACUUUCUAGAACCAACUUUGAAAACUUGAGAUCCAAGUUGGGAAUGAUCAACAAUUACAAUCUAGCUUGAAGGGGAGUGUGGAAAUCUGGAAUGUACAUUUGUGUGCACAGUUGUGUUACAACUACAAUUAUAUCAUAGUUGUGUUAUAGUUUUAUCACAGUUGUGUCAUAGUUAUGAUAUAGUUGUACUUCAGUUGAUAUAUUUGUAUUUACCAUUCUUCUUGAUUUUAUGAGCGACUUUCUCUCCUAAAAUUCAAAAUUAGAUUUUUUUUCAAGGAAGAUGGUCUUAGACGUCAUUCAUAUAUAAAUAUUGAUAGAAUAAUCAGUUUGAAAAGAAGAAGAAAAAAAAGUAUUUUUUCUCCCUAAAAUUUCUUCAAAAAAAACAUCAUGGAUGCAGCAACCCUUGGUGCUGAAGUCAUCAUAGCAUGAUCUUGGUACCCAACUUGUUGCCCAAGUUUCCUUACGAUGUAACAUGAAGUCCAUAUUGUACUAACUGAUGUAACAUCCUUCAAUGUUUGAAUAAAAAUAGUAUAUUGACCAUUUGAUAUUAUACUGAUCAAUAUCUUCAUUGCAUUGCUAUAUAUUGUAAUUGAAUAAGGGAGAGAGAUUACAGAAUACAGAAAGUGAAGGAGAUUUCAAAUGGCAAGUUUAAGCUUCCAAAUAAUACAUGUCUUGGUCUUCUGUGCUUGCAUUCUCAUCCCAACCAGUAGUCAGAGCCAUCCCCACCAGCCCGAAAAGCAUGCUGCACUUUUCAUCUUUGGAGAUUCCAUUUUUGAUGCUGGAAACAAUAUUUACAUCAACACCACUACUGAUUAUCAGAGAAAUUUCUGGCCAUAUGGGGAAACCUUUUUCGACUACCCCACUGGGAGAGCUUCUGAUGGCCGCUUGAUACCUGAUUUUAUUGGUAAAAUAGUUGUGUUGUAUGCUGUUAUCAAAGCAUCUGACUUAAAUCUGUUGCCCAGAUGACCCUUGUUUCUUUGCUGCAGCUGAGUAUGCAAAACUCCCAUUCCUUCCACCAUAUCUACAGCCUGGUAAUAAUCAAUUUACUUAUGGGUCAAACUUUGCAUCUGGGGGAGCCGGUGCUUUGGAUCAGACUAAUCAAGGAUUGGUAUGCCAUCUCUUGAAAUCUAGAUGGGAUAGUCUAGCUCAUUUCCAUUACUGACCAAGCAACUCAACCAUUUUUUUAGUUGAUUAUGUGAAGUGUUUGUUUGGCACAAGAUGGAUUAAAUGUGAACGAUCAUGUAGAUAACAUGUCUUGUAACAUUUUCAGGUGGUAAACCUCAACACACAGCUAACCUAUUUCAAGGAUGUGGAGAAACUGUUAAGGCAGAAGCUAGGUGAUGAAGCUGCCAAGAAAAUGCUGUUUGAAGCUGUCUACUUGAUCAACAUCGGAUCCAACGACUACUUGAGUCCCUUCUUAUGGAACUCCACUGUGCUUCAGUCCUACUCUCACGAACAAUACGUUCAUAUGGUGAUCGGCAAUUUGACUGUAGUAAUCAAAGUAAUAGUAAUAGCAUCUUUUGUCUUAAAAACAGUUUCAUUUCUCUAUGUUCUGUCCUUAUGAUUUGUCUAUGUUUCAGGAAAUAUAUAAGAAAGGAGGAAGGAAGUUUGGGCUUCUUGAUGUGGGGCCAUUAGGCUGUGUGCCAAUUAUGAAAGAAAUCAAACUCCAACAGGGAGGCAUGGGGUGCAUAGAAGAAUCCACAGAGCUAGCAAAACUACACAACAUAGCUCUCUCCAAGGUCCUGCAGGAACUAGAGAGCAAGUUGAAAGGAUUCAAAUAUUCAAUUUCCAAUUUCUAUACUUUUCUUGAGGAAAGAAUGAACAACCCUUCAAAAUAUGGUAUGCUAUCGCCCUCUUCAUAUUAUAUGCUUUUCCCUGUGGCCAAAUUUCACCUCUGUCAUAACUCACCUUCUGUAUUGUUUCUGCAAAGGUUUCAAAGAAGGGAAGAUAGCAUGUUGUGGUUCGGGUCCCUUCAGAGGACUUUCCAGCUGUGGGGGGAAGAGUAGCAUAAAGGAGUAUGAGUUAUGCAGCAAUGUGAGCGAAUACGUGUUCUUUGAUUCAGUUCAUCCUACAGACAGGGCCUACCAGCAGAUAGCUGAGCUAAUUUGGAGUGGAACUCGCAACAUUACAGGACCCUACAAUUUGAAAGCACUAUUUGUUUGAUUGAGCUUAUAUGUUCAAAUGCCUAAUAAAUGAGUUCAACAUGUGCAUAAUAAAUGAGUUCAACAUGUGCAUAAUGAAUGAGCUCAACAUGUCAAGUGCUGUACUAUUCUAUUUUACGACUCAGAAAAUUACUUUUGCCAAUAAAAAUUGAAGUCUUAAUGUAAAGAGAACUUCACGGCUGAACAAAACCCUACCUAUGGUUUUCAAAGCCAUCAUCAGAUAUAAAGUUCAAGAGGAAUGGUCUUGGUAAACAUCUUAUUCCCCAAGUCCCAUUACAAUUUUCAGUAUGAAAUGCAGGAAUUUUUUAAUAUUAGUCCAUAUCAGUAGUUGAAUGGUAAUAAGAUGUUGACCAUUUGAUAUCAUACUAAUCAAAAUCUUUAUCACAUGGCUGUAUAUAAAAGUUGGAACAAAGAGAAAGAUUACAGAGACUGAAUUAGGCUUCAAAUGGCAAGCUUAAGCUUCCACACCAUCCAUGUCUUGGUCUUCUGUGCUUACCUACUCAUCUCAACCAGUAGCCAGAGUCUUCCCCACCAGCCCAAAAAGCAUGCUACACUUUUCAUCUUUGGGGAUUCACUUUAUGAUGCUGGAAACAAUAACUACAUCAACACCACCACUGAUUAUCAGGCAAAUUUCUGGCCAUAUGGGGAAACCUUUUUUGGCUACCCCGCUGGGAGAUUUUUGGAUGGCCGCUUGAUCCCUGAUUUUAUUGGUAAGAGGGUAGUGCAGUAUGUUGUUGUCUUUAGCAUCUGAGUUAAUCUGUUGCCCAGCUGAUGCUUGUUGCUUUGCUGCAGCUGAGUAUGCAAAAUUCCCACUCCUUCCACCAUAUCUACAACCUGGUAAGGAGCAACUUACUUAGGGGGCAAACUUUGCAUCUGCUGGAGCUGGAGCUCUAAACGAUAUUCAUCAAGGAUCGGUAUAUGACCUCUUGAAAAUGGACUAGAAUCACCUAAAGAAUUGAUACUUGGUGCUGCAGGCACCGAUGGGCAUGAAGUCUAAUUGGGAAUGCCCAGCUCAUUUGUGUUGUUGUAGUUGAUUGUAUCACUCCAUAUGCCUGUACAGCAGACAUUAUCAGGUUGACAGAAUGGUCUUCUUCCAUUUUCAGGUGAUAAAUCUUAACACACAGCUAAGCUAUAUUGUAAAGGCAAAGAAACAGUUGAGGCAGAAGCUUGGUGAUGAAGCCACCAAGAAAAUGCUGUCUGAAGCUGUUUACUUGACCAGCAUUGGAAGCAAUGACUACUUGAGCCCCCUCCUCUCAAACUCUGUGUUUCAGUCCUACUCCUAUAAGAAACAAUAUAUACAUAUGGUGAUUGGCAAUUUGACAGUUGUAAUCAAAGUAAUAGCAUCUUUUUUAUUAACAACAGGUUGUUUUAUUUUACUUCUUCUAUGAUUGGCCCCUAUUGUUUUUCUUUGUUUCAGGAAAUAUAUAAGCAAGGGGGAAGGAAAUUUGGUUUUGUUAACUCGGCACCAUUAGGCUGUACACCUGUAAUGGAAACAAUAAAACUAGGAGGCAAUGGGGAGUACAUGGAAGAAGCAACAAUGCUAGCAAGACUACACAUCAGAGCUUUCUCCAAGGUCCUGCAGAAGCUAGAGAGCAAGUUAAAAGGAUUCAAAUAUUCAAUUUCCAAUUUCUAUACUCUCCUUGAGGAAAGAAUGGACAACCCUUCAAAAUAUGGUAUGCUGCCCUCAUCUUCAUAUUAUAUGCCAGUCCCUGUGGCCCAAUCGCACCUCUGUUCUAACUCCCCUUUUGUGUUUAAUGUGCAAAGAUUUCAAAGAAGGGAAGACAGCCUGUUGUGGUUGGGGUCCCUACAGGGGUCUUCUUAGCUGUGGAGGGAAGAGAACAAUAAAAGAGUAUGAGUUAUGCAGCAACGUAAGCAAAUGUCUUCUUUCAUUCAGCUCAUUCUACUGACAGGGCCAACCAGCAAAAGGCCAAGUUAAUGUGGAGUGGAACUCGCAACAUUACAGGACCCUACAACUUGAAAGAACUAUUUGAUUGAACUAUGUUUCAGCACUUUUCUGACACUCGUAUGUACCUCUUAUUUUCAAAUACUUAAUAAAUGUGCUCGAUGUUUUCUUUCUUCUGAAUGAAAGUUUUGUUGAGGGUCAUUGGGUUGGAAGUUUCUUCCAACUAUUGUUCACCUUCUUAUUUUUGUCUUUCCUGAUAAUGAUCAAAACACCUGCUAGAUCUCUAGCUAACAUAAAACUCUUGAGGAAGAGUAACAACCAUGCUUGCUGCAUCAGGAAACAGAUUAAAAUUUAAACCUUAAGAGAAAAAUAUUAGGCCAUCUUGACCCCAAAAGAAUGAAAUUUUUUACUCCCAAAGUCAUCAUCAGAUAAGGUUGGUUAACAAUAUAAUAUGAAUUGAAAACUGUUCAGAUUGAUUCCUUCAAACCACUGCUAGUUUAUUAAAAGAAUUUCUGGACCAUUUGAUAUUAACACUGAUGAAAAUGUUUGGCUAUGAACAAAAGUAACAACAAAGGAGAAAGAUAACAGAAAGUGAGACAGCCUUCAAAUGGAAAGUUCAGGCAUUUCCGUAAUCCAUGCCUUGCUCUUCUGAGCAUGCCUACUCAUUCCAUCAAGAGGCCUGAGUCAUCCCCACCAGAUCCAGAAGCAUGUGGCAUUUUUCGUCUUUGGGGAUUCGCUUUUUGAUGCUGGAAACAAUAAGUACAUCAACACCACUGAUCAACGGGCAAAUUUCUGGCCAUAUGGCGAAACCUUCUUUGGGCACCCCACUGGGAGAUUUUCAGAUGGCCGCCUGAUCCCUGAUUUUAUAGGUAAAAAUUAUGCAGUGUAUUGUUUUCUCAAGCAUCUGAGUUGAUUUGGUGUUCAGCUGACCCUUGUUCCUGUGCUGCAGCUGAGUAUGCAAAACUCCCAUUCCUUCCACCAUAUCUACAACCUGGUAGUAAUCAACUUACUUAUGGGGCAAACUUUGCAUUUGCUGGAGCUGGUGCUCUAGAUGAGACUAAUCAAGGAAAGGUAUGUAAUCUCUUGAAAAUGGAUUAGAAUUACCUAAAGUGUUAGUGCCUGGUCCUGCAGGCAUGUAUUGGGAUAACUGGCUCAUCUCCAUAAGUAGAUUCUCAGAAUCUCAAUCCAUAUUCAAAUGCAAAGUCCUAGUUAGUAUUCAUGUUUGAUGGCAUGGUCUAGUAUUAUUUUCAGGUGAUAAACCUUAAUACACAGCUGACCUAUUUUAAGAACAUGGAGAAACUGUUGAGGCAGAAGCUAGGUAAUGAAGCUGCAAAGAAAAUUCUAUUAGAAGCUGUUUACUUGAUUAGCAUUGGAACCAAUGACUACUUGAGCCCUUACUUCACAAACUCAACUGUGCUUCAGUCCUACCCUCAGAAGCUAUACCGGCAUAUGGUGAUUGGAAAUUUGACGGUUGUAAUCGAAGUAAUAGCAUCCUUUAUCUUUGAAACCAUUUUUUCUACUUGACAUACUAGAGAACAGUGGUUUUGGCAUACUCUUAUUAUGUGUCUGUUUUUCAGGAAAUAUACGAGAAGGGAGGAAGGAAGCUUGGGGUUCUUAGCUUGGGGCCAUUAGGUUGCAUACCAGCCAUGAAAGCAAUCAAGAAACCAGGAACUGGUGAGUGUAUAGAAGAAGCCUCAGAGCAAGCAAAACUACACAACAAAGCUCUGUCCAAGGUUCUGCAGAAGCUAGAGAGCAAGUUAAAAGGAUUCAAAUACUCGAUGUUUGAUUUCUAUUCCACUUUUGAGGACAGAAUGGAAAACCCUUCAAAAUAUGGUAUGAUUUCAUCAUCUUUAUAUUACAUGCUUUUCUCUGUUCCCUAAUUGCACCCUUGUUCUAACUCACCUUUUGUGUUGGUGCUGCAAAGGUUUCAACGAGGGGAAGACAGCAUGCUGUGGCUCAGGUCCCUACAGGGCUCUUGUUAGCUGUGGGGGGAAGGGAACAAUGAAAGAGUAUGAGUUAUGCAGCAAUGUAAGGGAAUAUGUGUUCUUUGAUGGAGGUCAUCCUACUGACAAGGCCAACCAGGAAAUGGCCAAGUUAAUGUGGAGUGGAACUCACAACAUUACAGGACCCUACAAUUUGAAAGAACUAUUUGCUUGAACUAUGUUAUAGCAUUUUGCUGGCAUUCAUGAUAUGUACCUCAUAUUUUUUAAUACCUGAUAAAUGUGCUCAAUGUUUGGUUUCUUCUGAAUGGAAGUUCUGUUGAGGCAAUUGCAUUGGAGGUUGUUUCCCAACUUGUUUUUGCCUUUCUAAAGAAAAUGAGAUGCCUAACACCAUUAUAGUUGUCAUUUCUGAUUAAUUGUGGGUAUAGUUAAGGCAUAGCUCGGAUAUCACUUGUUGUAUAGAAUGAAUCCCUGAUACCGUUUGUUAUGCAGGCAAAAAGUUCAUUGUUAACAUAUCAGUGCAAGUACACGAAGAUAAAAUCAAUCCUUAUGUAAAUGAGGAUUUUGGUUUUAUUUCUUGAAGAGUAUUAGGGUCAACCCCAAAACUCCUCAAGUAUUAUUAUGCAUCAUUUUUGUGUCAAAGGUGCUUUCUUAAAAUAAAAAAUAAAAAAUAAAAAGACUUAAGAAUUUUUAGUAGAUCUCCUGCUUUCAGGCAUGGUUGGAAGACAAUCAUCAAAAUAUGUCCCUACAGUUGAGUUAUCCAGAUAAUCAAAUAUGUUAUUUUUCUUUAGAAUAAGGCAUCACUCAGUCAACUGUCUUUUGGUGGCACAGGAUGCAAAGCUGCCAUAUUUGAAACCUCAUCUACAACUUGGAUUUACUGAUAAAGCCAAUUUUGCAUCCAUCCAACUUGAUUUGGGUUCUUUUCAAAAUCCUAUCCAGGAAUGGUAGGUGAUCUUAUGCAUUAAAUAUUAGUUUUCAAAAUAGAAUCCCGGAUCAGGCUGAUAUGUAAGAGCAUAUUUAAGAGCGAUUUUAAGAGUUAAAAACGCUUCCUAAUGUUUGAAACCGUGUCCUUAUAAAAAUUAGGUGUUUUGUAAAUUUUAAAAAUUUACAGUUAAAGAUCAGAGGAAGCACUGGAAAUGAUUCCUCAACAAUCACUUAGUUUUUUUUAUCAUAUAACACAUUAUCAAAGCCCUUUUUUGGGUGAUUUUUCUUAAAAACAGAAAUAAUGAAAACACUUCUUAAAAGCGUUUUAGACUAAAACAGAUUUCGCUUUCCAACUAAUAAAUCAAUGGACCAUCUAAAGGUUGCAGGCAACCUUUGUUUGUGAGGCCUCAAGCCUUAAAGAAUGGAACACAGCUCAUGACAUUUGAACAAGUCACACACCAUGAAAUUUAGCAAACUAUUAUAAUGAUGAAACAAAUAUAUAAUAAUGAUUUCUUUUUUAACUCAACCAAUUCUUCAAUUUAAAAAUCAAGAUUGAAACAUUAUUGUAUAGCAAAAUUGAUUCAUCUUGUCUGCUAUAUAAUAUAAAGACCAUAUGUAUAAUAAUUGAAAGUAACGAUAACAGAUAAAGCAAAGCAGGCUGAAAAUGGCAAGUUUCAGCAACUUCCACAUGAUCCAUCAUAUCUUGCUGAUCUUCUCUUCAUGCCUACUCAUCCCAACCAGCAGCCAGAGUCACCCCCACCAACCUCAGAACCAUGUGGCCUUUUUCAUCUUUGGGGAUUCACUUUUGGAUCCUGGGAACAAUAACUACAUCAACACUACAACUGAAGAUCAGGCAAACUUCAGGCCAUAUGGGGAAACCUUCUUUAAGUACCCUACUGGGAGGUUUUCCGAUGGCCGGCUCAUCCCUGAUUUUAUUGGUGAGAGAUUGUGGUAUAUGCGUUGUUUUCUUUUACUAUCAGAGUUAGUUAACUCUUGCCCAGAUGACCUUUUAUGCCUUGCUGCAGCUGAGUAUGCAAAACUCCCACUUAUUCCUCCAUAUCUGCAGCCUGGUAAUCAUCAAUUUACUUAUGGGGCCAACUUUGCAUCUGGUGGGGCUGGUGCUUUGGAUGAGAUUAAUCAAGGAUUGGUAUGCGAAAUCUCUUGAAAAGGAAUUAGAAUGAACUAAAGAGUUGGUAUUUACUGAUCAUGGUGGCAUGGUCUUAUACCAUUUUUUCAGGUGGUAAACCUCAACACACAGCUAAGGUAUUUCAAGAAGGUGGAGAAACACUUGAGGGAGAAGCUAGGCGAUGAAGAAUCCAAGAAACUGCUGCUUGAAGCUGUCUACUUGAUCAGCAUUGGAGGCAAUGACUACAUAAGCCCCUUGUUCAGGAACUACAGUGUGUUUCAGAUCUACUCUCAUAGGCAGUACCUAGACAUGGUGAUGGGCAAUUUGACAGUUGUAAUCCAAGUAAAACGAUCCUUACUCUUUCUUGACAUUAAAAUCAGGUUGCUGCUGCUUUCUUUCUAUACUUGUCCUUGUUGUUUUUCAUUUCUCAGGAGAUAUAUCAGAAAGGAGGAAGGAAAUUUGGGUUCGUGAACAUGGGGCCAUUGGGCUGUCUACCAGCCAUGAAAGCAAUCAAACUCCAACAAGGAGGCGCUGGUGAGUGCAUGGAAGAAGCCACAGUGCUAGUUAAACUACACAACAGAGUUCUUCCUGAGGUCCUCCAGAAGCUAGGGAGCAAGUUAAAGGGAUUCAAGUAUUCAAUAUUUGAUUUCUAUACUACUGCUAAGGAAAGAAUGGACAACCCUUCAAAAUAUGGUAUGCUAAUAGCCUUCUUCAUAUUUGUAUGCAUCUGGGUUAUGGCCAAAAUGCACCUCUGCUCUAAUCCACCUUCUCAAUUCAUGUUGCCAAGGUUUCAAAGAAGCGAAGAUAGCAUGCUGCGGUUCGGGUCCCUACAGGGGUCUGUACAGCUGUGGAGGGAUGAGAGGAACAAAAGAGUAUGAGCUAUGCAGCAAUGUCAGUGAAUACAUGUUCUUCGAUUCAUUUCAUCCUACUGACAGGGUCUACCAGCAGCUGGCUGAAUUAGUAUGGAGUGGAACUCACAAUGUGAUAAAACCAUACAAUUUGAAACAAUUGUUUGGACAUAGUCAGGAAGAGAUACCAUGCGACCAAUUUGAGCAUCUUCCUUAUACUAGCAAUGUGCCAUAGAACAACUGAGCGCCAUAAGUAUUUCAUUUUUCUCAAUCUGUUCAGCAUCGUUCACCUAGUAAAGGGGCUCAUUGUUUGGUGUCUUCUGAAUGAAGGUCUUGUUCGGGUAAUUCAACAAUUGUUGUUUGAAGCUUUAUAGGACUCUGCUCCGAAUCUUGGUCAAUUCUCUGCUUUGAUCAAGAUUUGAAUUUGAACUGUCCUAUAUAUCUUUUUGUGAGAGAUUUGUCACUUGAAAUAACUUCUCAAUGGAGGAAGAGUAGGAAUGUGUACUUCAAAAAUUGGAACAAGCAGAAUAAUAUGAGUUUCAUCAUUUCUCAUCAUCAGAUAUCCAGGGAUUUGCUGCACUAGUACACCUAUGGAAACCCCAUGUUUGAGUUUCUUUUUGCUGGUAGUUGAGUCUAUUCAGGUUGCCUUUAUGGUAGGGAAACCUCUAUAAAUCUUCUGUAUUUUUUUAUUGUGACUGCCCCCUUUGUAUGGCAAAGAAUCCUCUCCUUUUUUUAUAACACUUUCACUUUUUCUUUCAUCAAAAAAUCAUUCAUUUUGAUAUGCACAAUCAUUCAUUUUGAUGAAGGGUGGCAAUUAAUAUUGGUGGGUCAUGUUCGUGUCGUCUCAAAACUCAAGUACUCGACUUAAUAGAUCAAUUCAAACACAACACGAAUAAUUAUUAGAUUAAAAAAAUGAACUCAAGAAAUGCUUAAUUAUUGAACAAGUUACAUAACAUGACACAUGUAUAACUCAUUUAAUAAUCAAGUCAAGUUGAUCUUAUUUAAGUUGAUAUGAUGAACCUUACAUGUUUAUGACUUAAAAUAGAUCUUUUUAUUCAAAAUCAAAUUUUUAGUAAAUCAAACAUGGAUUAAUAAUAAGUUUCGGGUUAUAAUUAACCUAUUAAAUAAGUUGAUUCUGGAUUAUGCAAGUUGACCCAAAAACAAGUAAAAUUUAUUAAAUGGGUUAUGCAAGUCGAUAUGAAUUUCACUCAAAUACAUAUAUACUCAAUUCAAACUCAUAAAAAACGUAUCAGAUUCAAGCACAAAUCCUAUCAAACUUUACCACCAAAGCCCAUAAUUCAUUUGUACUCUCAUCACAGCUCUGGUCCACAUCUCUGGAACACUGUGUAUUGACUAAUCCAAUUGCCUUCUGUAUUUUCACACCAAGCAGACCAUCAGCCUGGCACUGGUCAUGGGGCCACUGCAAGCCCCACAAGGACUCACGCCCAUAUGGAAAGAGUGCCAAAACUCCUUGAAAAAAUUGGCUCUGGACUUAAAACUUAUAAAUAGCCAUUGUUUUGCGCUCAACAACACAAGAAAACUUACACAGAGAAGACAGCAUCAGCUUCAACAUGGCAAGCUCCACCUUCCACUUAUGUUUCCUGACCAUCUUUGCUAGCCUGCUCAUCCCAGCCAUCUGCCAUGGUCACUCCCAGAAGCCCAAAAAACAUGUGCCAUUGUUCGUCUUUGGCGAUUCCCUCUUUGAUCCUGGCAACAAUAUCUACCUCAACAGUAGCCACAAGGAGGCAUCAGCUUUCUGGCCAUAUGGGGAAACCUUCUUCAAGCAUCCUACCGGCAGACUUUCUGAUGGCCGUUUAGUCCCUGAUUUUAUCGGUAAGACUGGUAACAAAGUGUGAUAGCCAUAUAUUAGUCUCACCCAACUAACCCUUCUAGAUUUGUUGCAGCUGAGUUUAUGAAGCUGCCAUUGCUUCCACCAUAUCUACAACCUGGUGCACAUAGAUUUACUGAUGGGGCCAACUUUGCUUCUGGUGGAGCAGGUGUUCUUGCUGACACUCAUCCUGGAACAGUAAGUGAUCUUUCCAUUCUUUAAUCUGAGUUAUGAUUAUGAAACCCACAAAGGUUCUGACAUUUUCCUUUUCUUUGAAGUCUUGAUUUGGGGCAUUAUCAUUCAAUGUGCUGCAUUUUCUCUGUUUGAUCUUCAGAUAAGUCUUCUACUGCAGCUGAGCUAUUUCAAGAAUGUGGUGAAGCAAUUGAAACAGAAGCUAGGUAAUGCGAAGACCGAGAAGCUACUGAUGGGAGCCGUUUACUUGUUCAGCAUUGGUGGCAAUGACUAUGGUGUCUUUCAAAUGAAUUACCCCAAUGCUUCUCUAUCCCACCAGAGAGAAUAUGUUGGAAUGGUGAUUCAAAAUUUGACAUCUGUCCUUGAAGUAAGAACAUCCUUUUUUGAGAAGUGAUGACUGUUCUUUUCCUUACUGUAAGGCUUGUAGAUUGGACACUGAAUCAUGCUUUUUCUUAUUAUUCUUCUCCUUGCAGGAAGUCCAUCAAAUUGGAGGUAGAAAAAUUGCAUUUCAGAAUGCAGGCCCUUUCGGUUGUCUACCUUUAACACGAGCUGGGACAAGGAAUGGCGCCUGCGCUGAAGAACCCUCAGCAAUGGCAAAACUACACAACACAGCCCUAGCCAAUGUCCUGAAGAAGUUACAGACUCGCCUAACAGGAUUCAAAUAUUCAAUUUUUGAUUACUACAAUUCACUUGGUGAAAGAAUAAACAACCCUUUAAAGUAUGGUAAGUGAUGAACACAGAACACAGGUCUAGCCAUUCACCAUCGCUGUCUAAUGCUUAUUGUAAUUAACGUGGUGUGAAGGUUUCAAGGAAGGCAAAAGGGCAUGCUGUGGAAGUGGGGCAUACAGGGAAAGCAACUGUGGGGGGCAAGGAGGAACCACAAAGUUUGAAGUGUGUAGCAUUCCUGGUGACUAUGUCUGGUUUGAUGGUGCCCACACCACUGAAAGGGCCAAUAGGCAAUUGGCUGAGCUGCUGUGGAAUGGAACUCCUAAUUGCACGGCACCCAUCAAUCUGAAGCAGCUGUUUGAACAUAUGUGAUUGUAGUAGUAGAUCAUCAUAAAAUCCUUAGAGAUUCCUAGUACUUUUUCUGCUUCUGCUUCUGCUUCUUGAGAUGGUUUCAGAGGUGUUCCUGAUUGAUGAUCACUAGUCAAUAGACUAUAAGUUUUCACCUAUCCAGAUUGAAAGUUUUUCUAAGAUGAACUGCAAAUUAAUCUCAGACCAUGAAUACAUGAAUCAUCCAAAAACAAGUUCCAACUUCCAACAGCAAACCCAAAAGAAAUAUUUGAUUAUUAGUUCAAUUCAUCCAUGGGGAGAGAUCAAAUUCAAGAACAGUGAACCCCAAGUGAAUAGAUAACAAAUUCAUUUCCCAUUUAGACAUGAUCUCCUUAUCAUGACCCAUGACUUCAUAUAGUUCACUCCAUCCAUGGGGAGAGAUCAAAUUCAAGAACAGUGAACUCCAAGUGAAUAGAAAUCAAAUCCAUUUCCAAUAUUGACAUGAUCUCCUGAUCAUGACCAAUGACUCAUAAUGACUAAAUUUCAGAUAUAAAUGUAUUUAAAUUUAUAUUUAUAUUAAACCUCAUAUUAAAUAAAAGAAAAAAUUCAUAAUUUUAUAUAUGUAUGUAUAGAUUCCUUAUUGACAUAUUGUAAAAUUGUGAGAACCCAUCGAAGCUAGAACGAAUAAUAUUUAUAGAUUGAAAGUGAAUCAUUAUAAAAGGGUAUCAAUGCUAUAAGAGCCCAUGCUCGUACAUCACUUACUAAAUCGAUACAAUCUCCUCUCUGCCUUAUGCCACCAAACAAGCUGACAUGCAAAGCCAUUUUCUAUUCAAGCUGACAUCCAAAGUCAUUUUCUAUUUAACACACAGAUGAGAGGCCACAGUCACACUUGUUUACACACGUGACCUUAUUAUCCCAAUGCCUUACCUUUGAACUUGGAAGCCAGAAAUGUUGUCGGCCAGUACCGCUGCUGCAGGGCCCCACAUUUGCCCACACCAAAUGGCAUUUGUCUUCUUCCUCUAUUGGCUGAGGCGUCCAGAUCUUGAAGUGCCUCGGCCUCUCCAAGGAAAAGAAAUUAUGAAUUGCUUUGUCUUUAUCUUUAAGAGAUACUCCCUCAUGAAUUAUAUAUUGGAGAUGCCGACAUAAAAGAAAAGAAAAUAUGAAUGCCCAUCUUUUUAUCGUUUCAGAUAUGCUCCUUCCAAAAUUAGAUACCGGAGAUCUGUUAAAAUAACUAUGGACUCACAUAUGUAACAUAGUUUAUAAUUAAGCUAUUUGCAUUCAUGUAUUUGUUUUCUAUUUAUUCUAAAGUAUGGGUCACCUCAUGUGUAGAGCCCAAUACCAUAUGUGUCUCAAAUGAUGGGCCUAAGACACAUAUGGCCGAAUAUUUUUUGAGAAUGGUCCCUAAGGCAUAGAAGGUAUAUAAGGUUGGUGUCUGUUCAAUUUCUGGAGAAAUAUCUUUUGAAUAGACAAGAAACGCUCUCUCCCGCUUCCCAUUGCUAGAGAGAUUACAAAGACGGUGGUUUCCUCUCUACAGCCUUAGAAGAUCCAUACCUUGUUCAAAACCAAGAGAUAAAUGGACUUAGGUUCGUUCGUUUUCUAUAAAAAUGUCUAGCAUAAGUUCUUCAUAUGAUUCAACAUGCGAUCCCAGUCUGUUAUUGGAUUUAUAAUGGAGUUCCCUCAAUUGGUAUCAAAGCCAACAUAUUUAAUCAUUGAAAAAAUUGCCACAUUUUUUUUUAAUUCUUAAUGGAAAUUUCUUUGUAAAAUGUAUUGCAAUCCAAUCUGUCAAAGCCCUUGAUAGGCAUGCAAUUCCACUCCUAUCAUGGUGGCCCAUCCUGCAACGGCGUUUUUUUCUUUUUUUACAGCGAUGACGCUGCGACGCCGCCUUGCACGUUGUGGCGUCGUUUGGCACCACUGUCGAUGUCUCCGAACAUUGGAUCCCUGCGACAUCGCCUAGAGGAGGGAUGGGAGUGUUGGGCUUUGUGGAGCCUAGUUUUGUUUGAUCCGGUUUGACGACCCGACCCGAAUAAUAUUGCAUGGCUUUUUUAAUGGGAGAUUUAUUGAGGCCUGUUGGGCUCGUUUAGCCCAUUGUGGAACCACCCUUUGUAAUUAGGGUUUUUUAGUAUGGUAGGGUUGCCGUGCUAUAUAUAUAUAGAGAAUAUUGUAGCCGCUAGGUCGUACUCUGUAUUCUUCCCUGAUAAUAGUGAUAUCCCUGCAACUCCGUGGACGUAGGCAAAUUGCCGAACCACGUAAAUACUGUCUUGUGUGUGUGAUUGUUUUUCUUUGGCGUGUGUUUUCUCUAAUUUUUUUGUUUCUCACGGGUUGGGAAUUCGGUUUAAUUCCCUACAACUGGUACAGAGCCUAGGGUUAGGUUUGAGUGGGAGCAAUGGCAGAGGAAGCAGGAAAGGCGUCUGGAAUAGAAAAGUUUGAUGGCACAGACUUUGCGUAUUGGAGGAUGCAGAUUGAAGAUUAUCUCUAUGGGAGGAAAUUGCAUCUGCCUCUUUUGGGGACNNNNNNNNNNNNNNNNNNNNNNNNNNNNNNNNNNNNNNNNNNNNNNNNNNNNNNNNNNNNNNNNNNNNNNNNNNNNNNNNNNNNNNNNNNNNNNNNNNNNNNNNNNNNNNNNNNNNNNNNNNNNNNNNNNNNNNNNNNNNNNNNNNNNNNNNNNNNNNNNNNNNNNNNNNNNNNNNNNNNNNNNNNNNNNNNNNNNNNNNNNNNNNNNNNNNNNNNNNNNNNNNNNNNNNNNNNNNNNNNNNNNNNNNNNNNNNNNNNNNNNNNNNNNNNNNNNNNNNNNNNNNNNNNNNNNNNNNNNNNNNNNNNNNNNNNNNNNNNNNNNNNNNNNNNNNNNNUAUGAAAAGUCGUCCGCAAACAAUAAGGUGCAUCUGAUGAAGAAAUUGUUCAAUUUGAAGAUGGCAGAGAAUGCAUCAGUAGCACAACAUCUAAAUGAAUUUAAUACAAUCACAAAUCAAUUGUCGUCUGUAGAAAUUGAUUUUGAUGAUGAGAUUCGUGCUCUGAUUGUCUUGGCUUCUUUGCCAAACAGUUGGGAGGCAAUGAGGAUGGCAGUAAGCAAUUCUACAGGAAAGGAAAAGCUCAAGUACAAUGAUAUACGAGAUUUAAUUCUGGCUGAGGAGAUUCGCCGAAGAGAUGCAGGUGAAACCUCAGGAUCUGGUUCUGCCCUAAACCUUGAGACAAGAGGCAGAGGUAAUAACAGAAAUUCAAAUCAGGGUAGAUCAAAUUCCAGAAAUUCUAAUCGGAACAGAAGCAAAUCUAGAUCAGGCCAACAAGUACAAUGCUGGAAUUGUGGGAAAACAGGUCACUUUAAAAGGCAAUGCAAAAGCCCUAAGAAGAAGAAUGAAGAUGAUUCUGCUAAUGCUGUAACAGAAGAGGUACAGGAUGCAUUACUUCUUGCAGUAGACAGUCCACUUGAUGAUUGGGUUUUGGAUUCAGGAGCUUCGUUUCAUACCACUCCACACCGAGAAAUCAUACAGAAUUAUGUUGCAGGUGAUUUUGGUAAGGUGUAUUUGGCUGAUGGUUCAGCCUUGGAUGUUGUGGGUCUAGGAGACGUUCGAAUAUCAUUGCCCAAUGGGUCUGUUUGGUUACUGGAGAAGGUUCGAUAUAUUCCUGACCUGAGGAGGAAUCUGAUUUCUGUUGGACAACUUGAUGAUGAAGGACAUGCAAUACUAUUUGUUGGUGGUACUUGGAAGGUUACAAAGGGAGCUAGGGUAUUGGCUCGUGGAAAGAAGACUGGCACUCUGUAUAUGACCUCAUGUCCAAGAGACACAAUUGCAGUUGCUGAUGCAAGUACUGAUACAAGCCUAUGGCACCGCAGACUUGGUCACAUGAGUGAGAAAGGGAUGAAGAUGUUGCUGUCAAAAGGAAAACUACCAGAAUUGAAGUCCAUUGAUUUUGACAUGUGUGAAAGUUGCAUCUUAGAAAGCAAAAAAAGGUGAGCUUCUUGAAAACUGGCAGACACCGAAAGCUGAAAAAUUGGAACUAGUACACACUGAUUUGUGGGGCCUUCUCGGUUGCAUCCCUAGGAGUUCAAGGUACUACAUCACUUUAUUGAUGACUCAGUAGAANNNNNNNNNNNNNNNNNNNNNNNNNNNNNNNNNNNNNNNNNNNNNNNNNNNNNNNNNNNNNNNNNNNNNNNNNNNNNNNNNNNNNNNNNNNNNNNNNNNNGAGCCAGAGUGUUAUGAUGAAGCCUUGCAAGAUGAGAAUUCAAGCAAGUGGGAGUUAGCCAUGAAGGAUGAGAUGGAUUCCCUGUUGGGGAAUCAGACAUGGGGAACUGACUGAAUUGCCAGUAGGAAAGAAGACUUUGCACAACAAGUGGGUAUACAGAAUAAAGAAUGAGCAUGAUGGUAGCAAACGUUACAAGGCCAGAUUAGUUGUUAAAGGGUUCCAGCAGAAGGAGGGCAUUGACUACACAGAGAUAUUUUCUCCAGUUGUGAAGAUGUCAACAAUUAGACUUGUACUUGGAAUGGUGGCCGCAGAAAACUUACAUCUUGAGCAGUUAGAUGUGAAGACAGCAUUCCUUCAUGGUGACUUGGAGGAAGACCUUUACAUGAUUCAGCCAGAAGGGUUCAUUGUUCAAGGACAAGAGAAUCUAGUCUGCAAACUGAGAAAGAGCUUGUAUGGCCUUAAACAAGCUCCUAGACAGUGGUACAAGAAGUUUGACAAUUUUAUGCAUAGAAUUGGGUUCAAGAGAUGUGAAGCUGAUCAUUGUUGCUAUGUUAAGUCCUUUGACAACUCUUACAUCAUAUUACUGUUGUAUGUGGAUGAUAUGCUUAUUGUAGGGUCUGACAUUGAGAAGAUUUAUAAUCUGAAGAAGCAAUUGUCCAAACAGUUUGCAAUGAAGGAUUUGGGAGCUGCAAAGCAAAUCCUUGGUAUGAGAAUCAUUAGAGACAAAGCUAAUGGUACAUUGAAGCUUUCACAGUCAGAGUAUGUGAAGAAAGUUCUCAGCAGGUUCAACAUGAAUGAAGCUAAACCAGUGAGCACACCCUUCGGUAGUCAUUUCAAACUAAGCAAAGAACAGUCACCAAAGACAGAAGAAGAAAGGGACCAUAUGAGCAAGGUGCCCUAUGCCUCAGCUAUUGGCAGCUUGAUGUAUGCUAUGGUGUGUACAAGGCCAGACAUUGCACAUGCAGUGGGAGUUGUGAGCAGAUUCAUGAGUAGGCCUGGAAAGCAGCAUUGGGAGGCAGUCAAGUGGAUUUUAAGAUAUCUGAAGGGUUCAUUAGAUACAUGUCUUUGCUUCACAGGUGCAAGUUUGAAACUGCAGGGUUAUGUAGAUGCUGAUUUUGCUGGUGAUAUUGAUAGUAGAAAGAGUACUACUGGGUUUGUUUUUACUCUAGGUGGUACAGCUAUAUCAUGGACUUCAAAUCUACAGAAGAUUGUUACUUUGUCUACUACAGAAGCUGAGUAUGUUGCAGCAACUGAAGCUGGAAAGGAGAUGAUUUGGCUACAUGGUUUCUUAGAUGAAUUGGGUAAGAAGCAAGAGAUGGGCAUUCUACACAGUGACAGUCAGAGUGCAAUUUUUCUUGCCAAAAAUUCGGCUUUUCAUUCAAAGUCGAAACAUAUACAAACAAAAUAUCACUUUAUCCGUUAUCUUGUUGAGGAUAAACUGGUAAUACUUGAGAAGAUUUGUGGAUCUAAGAACCCUGCAGACAUGUUGACUAAGGGUGUCACUAUUGAGAAGUUGAAACUGUGCGCAGCUUCAAUUGGUCUUCUAGCUUGAGGACAGGAGGAUGAGUUGUAGGGAUGAGGGAUCGUUUCUUGGAGGAUAGCGGUUUGAUGUUGGUGAUUGGACUAGUCUCCAAGUGGGAGAUUUGUUGGGCUUUGUGGAGCCUAGUUUUGUUUGAUCCGGUUUGACGACCCGACCCGAAUAAUAUUGCAUGGCUUUUUUAAUGGGAGAUUUAUUGAGGCCUGUUGGGCUCGUUUAGCCCAUUGUGGAACCACCCUUUGUAAUUAGGGUUUUUUAGUAUGGUAGGGUUGCCGUGCUAUAUAUAUAUAGAGAAUAUUGUAGCCGCUAGGUCGUACUCUGUAUUCUUCCCUGAUAAUAGUGAUAUCCCUGCAACUCCGUGGACGUAGGAAAAUUGCCGAACCACGUAAAUACUGUCUUGUGUGUGUGAUUGUUUUUCUUUGGCGUGUGUUUUCUCUAAUUUUUUUGUUUCUCACGGGUUGGGAAUUCGGUUUAAUUCCCUACAGGGAGCAUUGCUGUAGGUUGUGGCGGCACCUUUGUAGCGUCGUUUCAAGCAAUCGAGACACCAUUAUGGCGUCAUUCCCAGUUAAGCGACACCAUCCAAGCGUCGUUUUGGCGCCGUUGUUGCAAGCAUUCCAGCGACGUCGUUCAGGCGCCAUUUCACACCGGUGAGAAGCGUCGUUUUGGGCGUUGUUGCAGGCAUCCUAGCAACGCCAUUACGGCAUCUUUCUGUGAAGGCGUCAGCAUUUCAAUGAUGGUGCUCUUGCGACGCCGCUCUCGGCGUCGUUGAUGAUUGGAGAAGAUGAUGCUACUUUGGCGUCAUUCGGCGGUCACUGAAAACUGUUUUAGGGCCACUGUUGGAGUCGUUUGAGGAUCGCUCUAGCGCCAUUUUGGAGCCACUAAUGACGCCGUUGUUAGGGACCUUGGGAUCGUUUGGGGCUGCAGUAAAUAAAUUAAUAUAUAUAUUAUGGGAUUCCUGGGUCCCAGACAUAUGCAUCUUUCUAACCUUUUCCCAGGUGACGUCAAAUCCUAACUUUUUCCCAUCAAGGUGCCCGGUGAUAGGAAGUAUAUGCAAAGUAUCCUCGAUGCCUUAAAUUUUCUCUAAAUCCAUUUAUGAUCUGCGGCAUGCUUGCAUGUAUAUAUAUAUAUAUAUACAUGGGUUUAUGCAUCUAAAAUGAAUGCCUUCUCUAAGCUAUUGAUAAUAAAGGACUGGUGGUGGUUUGAUAAAUAAAUAAAUAAAUAAAGGUCUUAAUGAGAUUGACAUGUAAUCCCUCCUCUAUUAAGGCAUUCCAAGCAUGAAUUAUAUUAAUGUCAUCUCAUUGGAAAUUUAUUUACUUUUAUUUAUCUAAACUAAUCCAUGUUAUAGGAAGAUAGGCACUUGUUAUGGGUUUCUCAUUUAGCUUUGGUGAGAAACACUAGUAUUUGAGUUAUGGAUUCAGUUUUAGAGAGAGAAACUCAACUGAAACCAUAAUUCAGGUUAUUCGCAUAGAGUUUAAAUAAUGAAUUUAGCCUUUUCUUGCUACAUUUGUGUUUAAUAUUUUAAAAUAAAUGAAUUAUGUAUAUUUGUUGCCAAAGUAACUUAUAUUAUAUAAUUUAUUUAUUCUAUAAUAUAUAAACAUGUUAUUAUUAUAUAAAAUAAUCGACCCAAAGGAAAAUUAUUUUAAUAUAAUAAUAAAUGAAGUAGUCAUAAAUAUGUGAUAUAUAAAGUUUAUCUUGCAUGUUGUAUGUCAGUCCAAAGACAGGCAUAUUGCUUCGGUUUUAUAGUUAAUAUUUCUAAUUAAUUUUGAAAAUGAUACCAAUUACAAGUUGAUAUUUUUGUCCAAAGACUGAAUAUUAAUGUUUGUGCUAGGUAUUUUGUAAUAGGCCCACAUGCAUAUACAUAUAUAUGUUAAAUUUUUAUUUAUUCAUGUAUGUAUGAUAUUUUUGUGACUAAUUGUGAGCUUUAUUGUUAUGAGUUUAGCAUCUUCUAUAUCUGCAAAUGUUAAUAACAUUUCUAUGUUUAAUGGCACAAACUUAAAGAAAUGGAAGGAGCACGUUAUAAUUGUGCUCGGGUGCAUGGAUUUGGACUAUGCAUUAAGAAAAGAUCGCCUCCAAACCUUACUAAUGCCCGCACUAUUGAGCAAAGGGUUGUUAUGGAAAAAUGGGAGCGAUCCAAUCGCAUGAGUCUAAUGACAAUGAAGCACUCAAUUCCAGAAGUUAUAAGGGGUGCAAUACCUGAGGAAACCCGAGCUAAGACAUUCUUGGACCAGAUAACAAACUGAUUCGCUGCAAACAAAAAGGUUGAGAUAAGUACUAUUCUUAGUAAGUUUGUCUCCAUACGGUACAAAGGGAAAGAAAAUAUAAGGAAGUACAUUAUGAUUUAGAGCUGCAUCAAAUGGACGUUAAAACUGCGUUUCUUAAUGGUAACAUCGAUGAGACAAUAUACAUGGUGCAACCGGAGAACUUUGAGUCUAAUGAUUCAAAGCAACUUGUAUGCAAAUUAAAAAGGUCCAUAUAUGGUUUAAAGCAAGCAUCCCGACAAUGGUACCGAAAGUUUGAUCAGGUGAUUACUUCAUUUGGUUUUAAGGAGAGCAUCAUUGAUCAAUGCAUAUAUCUUAAGUUCAGUGGGAGCAAAUUCAUUAUCUUGGUGCUAUAUGUAGAUGAUAUUCUACUUGCAAGUAGUCAUGUGGAACUUUUGCAUGAAACCAAGCAAUUUCUAUCUAGUAAAUUUGACAUGAAGGAUCUUGGUAAUGCAUCUUUUGUGUUGGGUAUAUAGAUCUAGAGGGAUCGUUCAAGAGGUAUACUUGGGCUAUCACAAAAGUCCUACAUCGAUAAGGUGUUAAGUAGGUUUGGCAUGAGCAAUUGUGCACCAAGAGACACGCCUGUGGCAAAAGGCGAUAAAUUUAGUUUGCACCAAUGUCCGAAAAAUGAACUUGAGAAGAAGGACAUGGAGAGGUUUCCCUAUGCCUCAGUAGUAGGAAGUCUCAUGUAUGCAAGGAAGAAAAUGUCGCGAUAUUUCAGUGAUAUAUCGUGUAUCGAAGGGUUUCGACAUGAUAUUUCAUAGAGAAAUAUCGGUUCUGCGAUAAAUCGGUGAUUUAGCGAUAAAUCGGUGAUUUAGCGAUAAAUCGGCUAUUUUUCCCGAUAUAUCGCAUGGUCAAUGCGGAUCAACGAAAGUCAAACGCGCUACAGUGCUACUACAAUGCCUCCCAUUUGCUUGCUGCCGAGAGGAUUUGAACCCCAAACCAAAAGGUUUGGGGUUCACCCGCUUACCACUUGGGCUACCUUGCCCUUUAAUACAUAAUAUGCAACAAAUAUAUAUAUACUUGAACUCAUUAUAUAAAGAAAAUAUAAGAAUAUUUUAAAGAGCAAAUUAAUUAUAAUUAUUUUAUAAUUAAAUGCAAAGUCUUUUAAUUAAUUACCAAAAAUAUAAAAAUUAUAUAAUUUUCUUCAUAAUGUUUUUAAUAUCAUUAAUAAUUAAUUAAAUAUUAAAAAAUUAUAUAUAUAUAUAUAUAUAUAUAUAUAUCAUUAUUUAUUUUAUAUUGUUUAAUACAAUUGAAUUAAAUGAAUCAUAUUUUAAUACUAAUAUAUAUUUUAAAAUUAGACAUAUUAUAAUCAAAUAUCAUAAUAUUAGGUGUAAUUUAAUAAUAAAUGUACACUUAUAAAAUUCAUAUUUUUAUCGAUGCAUACGAUAUUAUUAUCAAAUAUGAUAAAUCAUGUUAUACAUGUAUAAAAAUUUUCAAUAAAAUAACUUUAAAAUGUCUAUUAUACUUCUAAUUAUAUUAUUAUGAGGUUUUCUUUACAUUUUCAUGAGUUUUUAACAAUUUUAAGCUUAUCGAUAUUUUUUUCCAAAAUAUCUGUCAAUAUAUCUCCGAUAUAUCCGAUAUAUCUGUAAAAUCGAAAUACCGAUAUAUCCGUGAUUACCGAUAUUUUCAUCCUUGCAUGUAUGCACAAGUUUGUACACGUCCGAAUAUUACGUACAUUGUUGGAAUGUUGGGCAAAUAUUUGAGUAAUUCAGGUAUGGAUCACUGGAAAAAGGCAAAACGGGUUAUGCGGUAUUUACAAAGAACUAAAUAUUAUAUGCUCACAUAUCGUAGAUCCAGUCAUUUUAGGAUAUUCGGACUCUGAUUUCGCAGGAUGUCUUGACAGCAGGAGAUCCACUUCAGACUACAUCUUCAUGUUAGCUGAAGGAGCAAUUUCAUGGAAAAGUGUUAAACAAACACUUAUUGCUUCUUCCACCAUAAAGGCGGAAUUCAUAGCCUACUAUGAGGCAUCAAACCAUGGGAUAUGGUUGUGGAAUUUUAUCACUUAGUUGCAAAUUGUUGAUGGGGUUGAGAAACCAUUGAGAAUCAACUGUGAUAAUAAGGUUGCAUAAUUAUAUUCUAAGAACAACCGAAGUUCAUCAAAGUCCAAACACAUUGACGUCAAGUUCUUGGUUGUGAAAGAAAGAGUUCAGAGUCUUCAAGUAUCAAUUGAACACAUAAGCACAAGCUCCAUGAUUGCGGAUCCGCUCAGUAAGGGUUUGCCACCCAAAAUAUAUCAUGAGCAUGUCACACAUAUGGGUGUUGUACAUAUUGAUGAUGUGCUAGUAUAGUGGGAGUAUGUAUCUAGAUUUUAUGUUUGUUUUCUUGAUGUGUUAUUAUGUUUGUGUUAUCUGUACAAACCUUGGUUUUAAAGACUAUUGUGUUUAAAUACUCUGAAUUGAAAUGAUAACUUUCAGAAGCAGUUCAGCAUCAAGUGUUGAAAGUGGAAUUUGACUUUUUUUUUUUAGUCAUAAAGUAGGACCAAUUGAAAAUAGACAUAUUAAAGAUCACAUUCUAUAUAAUUUCCAUACUACAACAUCCAAACUUGAUCCAUGUUGCUAAUUUUGUUAAUGUUGUGAUCAUUGAUGGGUCUAGUCAUAAUUAUGAUUAACGAAGCCGCUUUAAUCCUGUGUUAACAUAAUUAGUAGAUCGGAUUGUUUAAGGAUAUUUAGAUAAAAUAGCAAAGAGGAGCUCAAUAAAGUACUAUCACAAACGUUGUUCUGUAAUAUAUGUGGUCCAAAUGGGAUAUUGUUAAAAUGACUAUGGACUCACAUAUGUAACAUAGUUUAUGAUUAAGCUAUUUGCAUUCACGUAUUUGUUUUUUGUUUGUUCUAAAGUAUGGGCCACCUCAUGUGUAGAGCCCGAUACCAUAGGUGUCUCAGAUGAUGGCCCUAAGACACAUAUGGCCCAAUAUUUUAAAGAGAAUGGUCCCUAAGGUAUAGAAGGUAUAUAAGGCUGGUGUCUGUUCAAUUUUUGGAGAGAUAUCUUUUGAAUAAACAAGAAACGUUCUCUCCCGCUUCCCAUCGCUAAAGAGAUUAUAGAGACGGUGGUUUCCCCUUUAUAGCCUUAGAAGAUCCAUACCUUGUUCAAAACCAAUAGAUAAAUGGACUCAGGUUCUUUCUUUUUCUAUAAAGAUGUCUGGCAUAAGUUCUUCAUAUGAUUCAACAUGCGAUCCCAAUCUGUUAUUGGAUUUAUAAUGGAGUUCCCUCAAGAUCCUCCUUCAAAAUUUAGAUAUUUUGUUUCCUAAUUGUUUUUAAAAACAAUUUUUCAAGUCGUUGUUACGAAAAACGAGAAUAAUUAACAAAAAAAAUAAAAACACACAAAUUUACUUGAAAAACUUUAAACGGAAAAAAUCACUAAUAAAAAAAUCUACUAUAAGAAAGAUUGGUACAAAAAGAAAGAAUAUCAAGCGGUUACUACAUAGCCCAAAAUCCUAUGUAAGUAAAAUAUUUUUACUUGAAAAACUUUAAACGGAAAAAAUCACUAAUAAAAAAAUUGGUACAAAAAGAAGAAUAUCGAACGGUUACUAAAUAACCCAAAAUCCUAUAUAAGUAAAAUAUUUUUCUUUCACUAUCAGCCAAUCUCAUGACCCCUCAAAAAAUCUAUAAUUUUUCUUUAUUAUAUAAGUCAUACCUUGAACUUUUUAGGUCGAACUAAAAAGGAAUUUGAAUCAUCAAAAUUCUAAUAGACUUAAAAUAUUUUAAGAAUUUUUAUAUUAUAAAUAAAUGUAUAAUAUUUUAAUGGAGAAAAAACAAGGAAAACUGUUUAUUUAUAAUCUUUGAUUAGUAAGACUUCGACAUCUCAUUGAAAAUCAAUCAAUCGACAUCCAUCCGAGGAAGAAGAGCAACCUUUUUCAUGAUAUUCGACGUCACACAAUCUCAAUCGACAUCUCAUGAUUUAACAAACAAUCCUUUCCUCCAACAUAACGUUCUAGCUAGAUCUGGAUGUGAAACUUGGUAAGAGGACUAGACUCAAGUACCUAUCUGCUUUACUAUACAUGAGAAGACAGAGAAGAUACGUGAAAACAAGUGUUUGCAUUUGAAUUGCCCUAUGACUCCCACCCAUACCUCAUCCGUUGACAAAAGGAAAAAAGCCUUAGAAGGUUGCUCUAAGCAUUGAAUGAAUGAGCCUCAGAAUGUGCAGUGAUCCCAUCCGAAGAUAAAGAAUGCAGAGCAUCAUGCGCACCCAUCACCCCCACUGGCCCACAUCUCUUCAACAGCUAGCGCGUCUUGACUAGGGGGAUUUUCUUUCAUGUUUUCACACCAAGGCCCACACGGCUCACACCCAUCUGAAAACAGUCACAAAGUCCGAGGUUCUGGGCCUUUCGACAUACAUCAUCCCUGAUAAAUAGCCAAUGUGUUGAGCUCAAGAGCACAAGAAAACAGAGUUAGGAGGCAUAUAGCAUCAAGGUCAUCAUGAAAAGCCUGAGUUUCCACUUUUGUGUGUUGAUCAUCUUUGGAAGCCUCCUCAUCCCAGCCAUCUGCCAUGGUCAUGACUCCCACUCCCAGAAGCCCCAUAAACAUGUUCCAUUGUUCGUCUUUGGUGAUUCUCUCUUCGACCCAGGCAACAAUUUGUACCUUAACACUAGCCAUAAGGAGGCAUCAGCUUACUGGCCAUAUGGGGAAACCUUCUUCAAGCGGCCUACUGGCAGGCUUUCUGAUGGCCGUUUAGUCCCUGAUUUUAUAGGUAAGAUACCAGUAGUCAGUACCAAAAAGAGUGAUGCUAACAGCCAUUUAUUAAGAUUACCCAACUGACCCUUGUAGCUUUAUUGCAGCGGAGUUCAUGGAGCUUCCACUGACCACAGCAUAUCUGCAACCUGGCACACAUAGAUUCACCCAUGGAUCCAACUUUGCUUCUGGUGGAGCAGGCGUCCUUGCUGAUACUCAUCCUGGAACAGUAAGUGAUCUUUCCAUUCUUCAAUCUGACUAAUCAAACCCCACAAAAGUUCUUAGAUUUUUCUUUUGUUUUCAGUUCACUGACAGCUUAAUUGUGCUUGUUUGAUCUUCAGAUAAGUCUCCCACUGCAGCUGAGCUAUUUCAAGAAUGUGGUGAAGCAAUUGAAACAGAAGCUAGGUGAAGUGAAGACCAAGAAGCUACUGAUGAGAGCUGUUUACUUGUUCAGCAUUGGUGGCAACGACUACUUCGGCUUCUACAUGAAAAAUCAGAAUGCUUCCCAAUCCUCCCAGACACAAUUUGUUGGAAUGGUGAUUCGCAAUUUGACAAAUGCCCUUGAAGUAUGGACAUCUUUUUCUUUUCUUCCACCUAGAGUAAGGCUAUUAGAUUAAUAAAUUAGACUGUUGAUCCAUAUUUUUGCGUUGGUCUUGUUGCAGGAAAUAUAUCAAAUUGGAGGUAGAAAAAUUGCGUUUCAGAAUGUAGGGCCUCUGGGUUGUGUACCUACGAAUAGAGCAAAAACCGGAAAUGGUGCCUGCGCUGAAGAAGCCUCUGCAAUGGCAAAAAUGCAUAAUGCAGCUCUUGCCAAUGUCCUCAAGAACUUGCAGACCCGCCUACCCAGAUUCAAAUACUCGAUCUUUGAUUACUACAAC
rnacentral:lncRNA from 1 species